AAAUUGAAGAGUUUGAUCAUGGCUCAGAUUGAACGCUGGCGGCAGGCCUAACACAUGCAAGUCGAACGGUAGCACAGAGAGCUUGCUCUCGGGUGACGAGUGGCGGACGGGUGAGUAAUGUCUGGGAAACUGCCUGAUGGAGGGGGAUAACUACUGGAAACGGUAGCUAAUACCGCAUAACGUCGCAAGACCAAAGAGGGGGACCUUCGGGCCUCUUGCCAUCAGAUGU
rnacentral:rRNA from 2 species